rnacentral:rRNA from 1 species
GAAGUUGGAGUCGCUAGUAAUCGCAGAUCAGCAACGCUGCGGUGAAUACGUUCCCGGGCCUUGUACACACCGCCCGUCACGUCAUGAAAGUCGGUAACACCCGAAGCCGGUGGCCUAACCCUCUGGGAGGGAGCCGUCGAAGGUGGGAUUGGCGAUUGGGACGAAGUCGUAACAAGGUAGCCGUACCGGAAGGUGUGGCUGGAUCACCUCCUUU